rnacentral:lncRNA from 10 species
CUCAACCUUGGCAGUCUGAAUUUUGUUAACCAGAUGUCGUCAUGCUGAAUGUUACCAACUCUGAUUGAGUAAGAAGCUUGUUUCAGAUGGUCUUAAUACUUAAACCUGGUGGAACGCCUUGUCUUAAUUUGUGACACAAUUUUAGGCACAUCCAGAUUAAUCUCUUACACGUUCAACAGCUUACAAGCAACUACUUGAAAGACUGCUAGAAGGAAAGAUAAUGUAGAAAGCAUAAUUUAUAGAAUUUAGUUGUAUAAAAUGAUAAAUUUAUCUAUUAUUUAAAUAGUGUCCUAAUUAUUACUGUUAUUACCAAGUUCUGAUAUUUGAAAUGUACCCAGUUUAUUAAUUAUCUUUUUACAUUCUACAGAUGUGUUCAGAGCAACAUUGUUUUGUUGACACAAGCAUUUAGAAGAAAGUUUGUGAUUCCUGACUUUAUGUCUUUUACCUCACACAUUGAUGAGUUAUAUGAAAGUGCUAAAAAGCAGUCUGGAGGAAAGGUUGCAGAUUAUAUUCCUCAACUGGCCAAAUUCAGUCCCGAUUUGUGGGGUGUGUCUGUUUGUACAGUAGAUGGACAGAGGUAAGUUUAUUUCAAAUUCAUGAAAACCAACUCUAAGCCUUAACUUUUGUAUAAUGGUGAGAAUGACAUGGAGAAGAUCAUCUUUUAUAAUGGAAAUUAGUCCUAACAGGAUAUAAUUUCAAAAGGUAAAUAAAUUUAAAUUUUAAUGUAAUUUUUAAAAACUCAAACAGUAACAUUAUAUUAAGUUUUAUGAGACAUCUAUUUUAUUCACAGUUGUAGUCUUGUUUUUUGAGUAUUAUUCAAAUACCUGCAGUUACCAAUUUGUUUCAGAAAAGCAGGCUUGUCAAAACAUGACACUAUUCUCUAAUGAACUGACUACUAAUAAAAUUAGUCCCUAUUUCUCAACUUAACAUUGGUAACCCAUCUGUCGUUGUCUUUGUUCCUUGUGUUCCUGAUAAAAUUAGCAUGAGAAUUAAGACAGUGCAACAUAACGUAUCCCAAAGUUAAAAGUCAGUUGCAAAACAUGUAGGAUUUCAUGAAGUCCAUGAAAGCAGCAUUUGGGAAUUGCUUACAUUGCAGGCACAGCUGCUGACAGAUGAGGAACUUGCAGAAUUAUAAAAAGGAUAGUGAUGUGAGGGCGCUUUAGAAAGAAUGAUUUGAUUUAAAAAUCAAAGAAUUAAGAGAGGCCCUUGGAAAAUGGUAAAGUUCUAGAAUAUUUUUUCAAGAAUGACCGUGUUCAUUGUGCUGGGAAUUAGACAUAAAGAUUGUUAUCAUCUUAUAAUUUGGUUUUAUUAGAAAAUUACGCC